AGGGUUCGAUUAUGGCUCAGGAUGAACGCUAGCUACAGGCUUAACACAUGCAAGUCGAGGGGCAGCAUGAAAGGAACUUCGGUUCUUUUUGAUGGCGACCGGCGCACGGGUGCGUAACGCGUAUCGAACCUGCCUCAUACUCGGGGAUAGCCUUGCGAAAGUAAGAUUAAUACCCGGCGGUCUCGGAUGGCCGCAUGACUAUCCGAGUGAAGAUUUAUCGGUAUGAGAUGGCGAUGCGUCCCAUUAGCUAGUUGGUGAGGUAAUGGCUCACCAAGGCAUCGAUGGGUAGGGGUUCUGAGAGGAAGGUCCCCCACAUUGGAACUGAGACACGGUCCAA
rnacentral:rRNA from 1 species